rnacentral:lncRNA from 1 species
UUUGAGAUAAAUAGCAGAUCGGAUUAAUUGAAGAGUUGCCGGAGAAAUAUCGUCAACUGCGAUGGUUUAGAAAUGGUCGGAUGGUGAUGAAAGAAUGGAUUCGGUUGACGUGAUCAUGGUUCUGCGUCCGUUUUCAGUUUCUUCGGAAUAAUGAGGGUGACGGUGAUGGUGGGUUUCGAUGCUUCUAAUGGAUAGGCAACAAAAAGUAGUGAAUCUGUAGUAGAGGGGAAGGCUGUGUUUGGUCUAACCAGGUUCAAACGGGUCUUCUAGUUUCGUGGUGGUUUGUCGGGGGUUGUGGGGUGGCUGUAGAGUAGUGUGAGUAUUAGUUUUAUAGGUGGAUGUGGUAAAACAUCCAAGAACCUGGGAUAUAUAUAUAGCCGAGUGUG